CCUACGGGUGGCUGCAGUGGGGAAUAUUGCACAAUGGGGGGAACCCUGAUGCAGCGACGCCGCGUGGGUGAGGAAGUACUUCGGUAUGUAAAGCCCUAUCAGCAGGGAAGAAAAUGACGGUACCUGACUAAGAAGCCCCGGCUAACUACGUGCCAGCAGCCGCGGUAAUACGUAGGCGGCAAGCGUUAUCCGGAUUUAAUGGGUGUAAAGGGGGCGUAGACGGCGUGCCAAGUCUGGUGUGAAAGGCCGGGGCUCAACCCCGGGACUGCAUUGGAAACUGGCAUGCUGGAGUGCCGGAGGGGUGAGCGGAAUUCGUAGUGUAGCGGUGAAAUGCGUAGAUAUUAGGAAGAACUCCGAUUGCGAAGGCAGUUUACUAAACUGCAACUGACAUUGAUGCUCGAAAGUGUGGGUAUCAAACAGGAUUAGAUACCCUGGUAGUC
rnacentral:rRNA from 1 species